CGAGCGAAUGGAUUAAGAGCUUGCUCUUAUGAAGUUAGCGGCGGACGGGUGAGUAACACGUGGGUAACCUACCCAUAAGACUGGGAUAACUCCGGGAAACCGGGGCUAAUACCGGAUAAUAUUUUGAACUGCAUAGUUCGAAAUUGAAAGGCGGCUUCGGCUGUCACUUAUGGAUGGACCCGCGUCGCAUUAGCUAGUUGGUGAGGUAACGGCUCACCAAGGCGACGAUGCGUAGCCGACCUGAGAGGGUGAUCGGCCACACUGGGACUGAGACACGGCCCAGACUCCUACGGGAGGCAGCAGUAGGGAAUCUUCCGCAAUGGACGAAAGUCUGACGGAGCAACGCCGCGUGAGUGAUGAAGGCUUUCGGGUCGUAAAACUCUGUUGUUAGGGAAGAACAAGUGCUAGUUGAAUAAGCUGGCACCUUGACGGUACCUAACCAGAAAGCCACGGCUAACUACGUGCCAGCAGCCGCGGUAAUACGUAGGUGGCAAGCGUUAUCCGGAAUUAUUGGGCGUAAAGCGCGCGCAGGUGGUUUCUUAAGUCUGAUGUGAAAGCCCACGGCUCAACCGUGGAGGGUCAUUGGAAACUGGGAGACUUGAGUGCAGAAGAGGAAAGUGGAAUUCCAUGUGUAGCGGUGAAAUGCGUAGAGAUAUGGAGGAACACCAGUGGCGAAGGCGACUUUCUGGUCUGUAACUGACACUGAGGCGCGAAAGCGUGGGGAGCAAACAGGAUUAGAUACCC
rnacentral:rRNA from 1 species